rnacentral:siRNA from 1 species
GGUGUGGCCUGCAAUUUACCCUU